UUCCGGUUGAUCCUGCCGGACCUGACUGCUAUCGGAUUGAUACUAAGCCAUGUGAGUCUUUGCAGUAAUGCAAGGCAGACGGCUCAGUAACACGUAGUCAAUCUAACCUAUGGACAGGGAUAAUCUCGGGAAACUGAGCAUAAUACCUGAUAGAUCAUUAUGCCUGGAACGGUUAAUGGUUGAAAUGAUUUUUCGCCAUAGGAUGGGACUACGGCCUAUCAGCUUGUUGGUGAGGCAAAGGCCCACCAAGGCUAUUACAGGUACGGGCUCUGAGAGGAGUAGCCCGGAGAUGGGUACUGAGACACGGACCCAGGCCCUAUGGGGCGCAGCAGGCGAGAAAACUUUGCAAUGUGCGAAAGCACGACAAGGUUAAUCCGAGUGGUUUCUGCUAAAGGAACCUUUUGACAGUCAUAGAACCACUGUUGAAUAAGGGGUGGGCAAGUUCUGGUGUCAGCCGCCGCGGUAAAACCAGCACCUCAAGUGGUCAGGAUGAUUAUUGGGCCUAAAGCAUCCGUAGCCUGCUUUGUAAGUUUUCGGUUAAAUCCAUACGCUCAACGUAUGGGCUGCCGGGAAUACUGCAAAGCUAGGGAGUGGGAGAGGUAGACGGUACUCGGGUAGGAAGGGGUAAAAUCCUUUGAUCUAUUGAUGACCACCUGUGGCGAAGGCGGUCUACCAGAACACGUCCGACGGUGAGGGAUGAAAGCUGGGGGAGCAAACCGGAUUAGAUACCCGGGUAGUCCCAGCUGUAAACUAUGCAAACUCGGUGAUGCAUUGGCUUGAUGCCAAUGCAGUGCCGCAGGGAAGCCGUUAAGUUUGCCGCCUGGGAAGUACGUACGCAAGUAUGAAACUUAAAGGAAUUGGCGGGGGAGCACCACAAGGGGUGAAGCCUGCGGUUCAAUUGGAGUCAACGCCGGG
rnacentral:rRNA from 1 species